UACGUAGGGUGCAAGCGUUAUCCGGAAUUACUGGGCGUAAAGGGUGCGCAGGCGGUCCUGCAAGUCAGGCGUGAAAUCCCCGGGCUUAACCUGGGAAUGGCACUUGAAACUACGGGACUGGAGUAUGGCAGAGGGAGGUGGAAUUCCACGUGUAGCGGUGAAAUGCGUAGAGAUGUGGAGGAACACCGAUGGCGAAGGCAGCCUCCUGGGCCAAUACUGACGCUCAUGCACGAAAGCGUGGGGAGCAAACAGG
rnacentral:rRNA from 1 species